GGCCCUAUCGUCUAAUGGUUAGGACCUAUGAUUCUCAAUCAUGUAAUACGGGUUCGAUUCCCGUUGGGGCUA
rnacentral:tRNA from 1 species